GAUGAACGCUGGCGGCGUGCCUAAUACAUGCAAGUCGAGCGAACAGAUGAGGAGCUUGCUCCUCUGACGUUAGCGGCGGACGGGUGAGUAACACGUGGAUAACCUACCUAUAAGACUGGGAUAACUUCGGGAAACCGGAGCUAAUACCGGAUAAUAUAUUGAACCGCAUGGUUCAAUAGUGAAAGACGGUUUUGCUGUCACUUAUAGAUGGAUCCGCGCCGCAUUAGCUAGUUGGUAAGGUAACGGCUUACCAAGGCAACGAUGCGUAGCCGACCUGAGAGGGUGAUCGGCCACACUGGAACUGAGACACGGUCCAGACUCCUACGGGAGGCAGCAGUAGGGAAUCUUCCGCAAUGGGAGAAAGCCUGACGGAGCAACGCCGCGUGAGUGAUGAAGGUCUUCGGAUCGUAAAACUCUGUUAUUAGGGAAGAACAAAUGUGUAAGUAACUAUGCACGUCUUGACGGUACCUAAGCAGAAAGCCACGGCUAACUACGU
rnacentral:rRNA from 1 species